rnacentral:rRNA from 1 species
CCUACGGGAGGCUGCAGUAGGGCAUUUUCGGCAAUGGGGGGAACCCUGACCGAGCAACGCCGCGUGAAGGAAGAAGGAAUUCGUUCUGUAAACUUCUGUUAUAAAGGAAGAAAGACGGAUGGAGGAAAUGACAUCCGAGUGACGGUACUCUAUGAGAAAGUCACGGCUAACUACGUGCCAGCAGCGGCGGUAAUACGUAGGUGGCAAGCGUUAUCCGGAAUUAUUGGGCGUAAAGAGGGAGCAGGCGGCAGCCAAGGUCUGUGGUGAAAGACUGAAGCUUAACUUCGGUAAGCCAUAGAAACCGGGCAGCUGGAGUGCAGGAGAGGAUCGUGGAAUUCCAUGUGUAGCGGUGAAAUGCGUAGAUAUAUGGAGGAACACCAGUGGCGAAGGCGGCUUACUGGACUGUAACUGACGUUGAGGCUCGAAAGCGUGGGGAGCAAACAGGAUUAGAUACCCGGGUAGUC